UACGAAGGGGGCUAGCGUUGUUCGGAAUUACUGGGCGUAAAGCGCAUGUAGGCGGCUUCGCAAGUCAGAGGUGAAAGCCUGGGGCUCAACCCCAGAACUGCCUUUGAGACUGCGUCGCUCGAAUCCGGGAGAGGUGAGUGGAAUUCCGAGUGUAGAGGUGAAAUUCGUAGAUAUUCGGAAGAACACCAGUGGCGAAGGCGGCUCACUGGACCGGCAUUGACGCUGAGGUGCGAAAGCGUGGGGAGCAAACAGG
rnacentral:rRNA from 1 species